rnacentral:rRNA from 1 species
GACGAACUGUCCUAACGUUGUUCGGAAUCACUGGGCUUAAAGGGCGCGUAGGCGGUCCGCCAAGUCAGGGGUGAAAUCCUGCAGCUUAACUGUAGAAGUGCCUCUGAUACUGGCGGUCUUGAGGGAAAUAGGGGUGUGCGGAACUUCCAGUGGAGCGGUGAAAUGCGUUGAUAUUGGAAGGGACGCCGGAGGCGAAAGCGGCGCACUGGAUUUCUUCUGACGCUGAGGCGCGAAAGCUAGGGGAGCAAACGGG